rnacentral:rRNA from 1 species
UGGGGAAUUUUGGACAAUGGGCGAAAGCCUGAUCCAGCAAUGCCGCGUGUGUGAAGAAGGCCUUCGGGUUGUAAAGCACUUUUGUCCGGAAAGAAAUCCUUGGCUCUAAUACAGUCGGGGGAUGACGGUACCGGAAGAAUAAGCACCGGCUAACUACGUGCCAGCAGCCGCGGUAAUACGUAGGGUGCAAGCGUUAAUCGGAAUUACUGGGCGUAAAGCGUGCGCAGGCGGUUUGCUAAGACCGAUGUGAAAUCCCCGGGCUCAACCUGGGAACUGCAUUGGUGACUGGCAGGCUAGAGUAUGGCAGAGGGGGGUAGAAUUCCACGUGUAGCAGUGAAAUGCGUAGAGAUGUGGAGGAAUACCGAUGGCGAAGGCAGCCCCCUGGGCCAAUACUGACGCUCAUGCACGAAAGCGUGGGGAGCAAACAGGAUUAGAUACCCUGGUAGUCCACGCCCUAAACGAUAUCAACUAGUUGUUGGGGAUUCAUUUCCUUAGUAACGUAGCUAACGCGUGAAGCUGACCGCCUGGGGGAGUACGGUCGCAAGAUUAAAACUUAAAGGAAUUGACGGGGUCAUAGCUGUUUCCU